rnacentral:misc_RNA from 1 species
UUCUACCUGUUCUGAACUCUGG